rnacentral:lncRNA from 1 species
GAAAUAAAAGUCUCGAAUCCACCAGAAAACCUAAGUCUUAUAUUAUUCAAUUGCUGAAAUAAAAAAAUUAAAAGCUUUAAAAACUUUAACUUCAUAUUCCUCUCACUCAUCCCUGUUUCCCCUGAUUACCUGCAAACACAUAAGACAACACAAGAAAGAAACUACGGCUGAGCCAAAAAGUUAACCAGUAACGGAGAAAUCAAGAGUAAAGUAGUGACGGCAUGCGAAGAGCAAAAUGGAUUGGUACGGAUAAUAAACAAAUCUAAAAGAUGGCAUAGAAACAAAUACUUACAUAACUUGAAUCCCAAAACUUAUACUGAGUCGAUAACAGAUACUAAACAUAAUCAAAUGCAUAUGAACAUAUGAAUGCAUUUUCGUAUAUAUAAAAAGAAGAGUUAAUUACUAUUUUUGUCCCUGUGUUAUUUUGCCAGUUUAGUCCAAAGUUUCAUUUUUAACAUAUGGAUCCAAAAAGGUUUUAUCGUUGCCAUUUUGGUCCAAUUGACUUAACCCCAUCCAUAUCUGUUAGUCAAGGGGUAUUUUUUAUCAUUUCAAUGGUGCCUUUUUUUUAAAUUAAAGCUUUACCCUAAUCCCCAUUUUUCUCAAACCUACAAACACAACUUGAGAAGGAGAUCGAAUCAAACUGGUACUCCACCGCUAGUUCACCGUCAUCAACCAACCACCACUCUCUCUAGCCGCGCCAACACUCUCGGUCGUCCGUCACCAUCCCCUGCCACCGCCAUCCUUCACCAUUCGCUGCCACCACCAUCAAACCGUCGAUCGAAUCAAACUGGUAUUCCACCGCUAGUUCACCGUCAUCCACCAACCGCUACACUCUCUGGCCGCGCCACCAUUCUCGGCCGUCCGUCACCAUCCCUGCCACCGCCGUCCUUCACCAUCCGCUGCCACCACCAUUAAACCGUCAUCCAUCUCAUUCCAGAAGCGGUUGAAGGGUACACACCAGCAACAUCAAGAACAGUUGCGCCAUCUUAUCUUGAAAUUCUAUGAACUUAUGAAGAUUUUGUUGUUUUAAUCGAUGUUUAAAUGAAUUUGAAGACGAUAGCCAGUAAGAUUUGAAUAUAUUUUAGGUCAAAAUUGAUAUGUUCAUCCUAAAUUAUUCAAAUCACUUGCGUUGUUUCAAUUGAACUACUUAUAUAUGAAAUUGCAUCAUAUUAUCAUGAAAUUUCUAUGUAGAUUUUGUUGUUUGAUUAUCGUUAAUGAAUUUGAAGAUGAUAGCAGGUUAGAUUCAGAUGAAAUUUAGGUUAAAUCUGAAGAGAACCAAGAAAAGAGAGAGAGAGAGAGAAUCGUUCACCACCACCAUUAUCUUUCCGAUCUGUAGUCUAUCUUAUCUGUCGGUUCCGAUCAUUUCCGAUUUGUUGUCUUCCUGAAUUGUUCUGGCUAGGGUGGUAGUGGUGGAGGUGUGCCUAAGGCCGGUGGAGGCUGAGGUGGAGGUGGAGGUGGAGGUGAUGGUUGUUGUGGUGGAGGUGAUGGUUUGUUGUCUUCCUUAUACCAGAUAUAUGUAGGAGGUGACUAUUAUUUAUAGCAAGACAAUAAACAAUAAAGCUUUAAUUAAAAGAAAAAAACAAUAAAGAAUAAAGGGUUAAUAAAAGGAAAAAAUUAAAUGACUAAAAUGUCCUUGGGAGACUUAACAGAUAUGGAUGGAGUUAAGUUAGUUGGACCAAAAUGGCAACAAUGAAACCUUUUUGAAUCCAGAUGUUAAAAAUGAAACCUUUAGACUAAACUAACAAAAUGACCCAAACUACAAGAACUAAAAUGGCAAUUAACUCUUACUAAAAUAGCUGACAUCAUUGUUAUAUACUUUGUCAAGGUGUUAACAUUUUGAAUUUAUUAUUCCAACCAAUGUGGGUAUGGAUCAAAUCGUUUUUCUAUUUCAUCAAUAUAUAUUUAAAUCUCAAUUUUUGAUCACAUCAACAUUUAGAUAAUUUCAUAUUUACUUUGUUUACGUAGGUUCUUAUUUCUAGAAUCAACAUUUUAGAUAAUUUCACAUCAACAUUUUGAAUGAAAUAUAUGUUUAUACAAUUUUAGAUUGGAUGUUUAUAAAUAUUCGUAAGUUUUAUUUUUGGGUUAACAAUAUUUUACAUUUUUUUGAACGGUGACUUUCUUUUUGAGACCUAAUGUCACACCGUUUAAACUGCAGCCCUGGUCAAGAUCUACCUAGACUAUGUUGUCUUAACCGGACCCGCACUGUAUUGGUCAGACUUGGUUACGGCGUUCCCCCGAAAACCGUACUGCCUCCACACGAUUUAAUGUAUAGAAUAUAGGACAUCAUUUUAAAAAUAUAAGUACUCAAAGCUUAUGCAUUUAUAACGUUAUUCAACCAAAAAAUAAAAAUAAAAAACAUAGAUUGAUUCCCGACUAGGCGUUGAUUAAUCACCAAUUAAUCUCGAUUAACUUUCCAUAAUUAAUCAACACCACCACCGGCCACCACUCACCGGCCACCACCACCACCAUUCACCACCACCACUCACUGGCCACCACCACCAUCACUCACCGGCCACCACCACCACUCACCAGCACCACUCACCGGCCACCACCACUACUCACAACCACCACCGGCCACCACCACUCACCACCACCACUCACCGACCACCACCACUACUCACCACCACAACCACUCACCGACCACCACUCACCGGCCACCACCACUACUCACCACCACCACCACUCACCACCAGAGAAAACCACAACCCAGGGUGGAAAUGAAUGUAGCAGGAUGAAUGAUGAAACUUUACUUUCAAAAUUAUUGUUUGUUUACUACUAUCCCAUGUAAUCACAGGUCAAUAAUCUAGUGUUAUUAUAAAACUCUAGCAAAUAAACGUCCUAUAAAAUUUAUUUUUUAGAACUCAAAUAUCAAGUGUCCUAUUACGAUGUAUUAUAAUAACACCAUAAUGAUUAAGCGUCCUAUAAAGGUUAAAGUUAUAAGACCCUAGUGUCAAGUGUCCUAUUAAGUUAUGUUAUAAUAGAACUCUAGCGAAUAAGCGUCCUAUAAAACUGAUGUUUUAUGUCUCAAAUAUCAGGUGUCCUAUUACAGUGUAUUAUAAUAACACCAUAACGAUUAAGCGUCCUAUAAAGGUUAAAUUUAUAAGACCCAAGUUUCAAGUGUCUUUUUAAGUUAUAUUAUAAUAAAACUCUAACGAAUAAGCGUCCCAUAAAACUAAUGUUUUUUGACUCAAAUAUCAAGUGUCCUAUUACGGUGUAUUAUAAUAACACCACAAUGAUUAAGCGUCCUAUAAAGUUUAAAGUUAUAAGACCUAAGUGUCAAGUGUCCUAUUAAGUUAAGUUCUAACAUGACUUCAACUAGAAAUGGUCCUAUAACACUGAACAUUUAUGACUUAACUACAGCGUGUCCUAUUAAGUUAUGUUAUAAUAGGACCCCAGAUGAUCAAGUGUCCUAAUACAGUAUCACAUAAUGGGACACUAACAAUUAAAUGUCUUAUAAAUUAUUUUAUUAGGAUCUACAUUUUAAGUGUCCUAUUAAAUUUUAUGAUAAUAGGACCCCAAAUAAUCAUCCAUCCUAUUAAAUAGUUUUUUAGGACACCGGUUUAGUAGAGUAUGUUAUAAAAGGACCCCAAAAGUUCAUUAGUCCUAUUAAAUAGUUUUUUAGGACCCUCCUUUACAAGCGUCCCACAGAAAAGGUCCUAAAAAGCCAUUUUUGUUGUAGUGUGUUUUUUGUCGCUUCAAGAUCUAAGAUCCGUGAUAUAAUCAAUUAAAACCGGAUCGCUCACUUGAUGUAUUCAAAUGGAUAUUAGAUCCAUCAAACUUCAUUAAUUUAAGGAGUAAAUUACUAUUUUGGCCAAUGUUAACCCCUUCGGUCUAAAAUGGAAUCUUUUGACAUAUCUGACCUACAGAUUGCAUUUUAUAAUUGUUUUAAUCCAUAAAACUAACUUUGUUACUUUUUUCCUACUUAAUUGUAAGGGUAUUAUGGUACUUUUAUACCUUAGGGACUGUUUAUGUAAAAUGGCAAACAGAGGGUAUGAAAAAACCUUGGGCUCAAAUUCAAAUAUGUCUCAACGAAAUUUCAAGCUUAAUACAUUUUUCUUUUAAUAUUUUAACUUGGAAAAUUUAUAAAUUUUCAAAUUUGUAAAUUUACGAAAUCCAGUUUGAAGUGAAUCAUUAGUUGAUAUAAAAGGAUAAUCAAUUUGUAAAUGCUAUUUUAGAGAUUGUUGUAGUUCCGUUCUCAAGAUUUUUAUCAAACCAUUUAUUUUCUCUAAUUAUUAAAAUAUUUUUUUGGAGUUAUUCAGAUUUACGGUUCAAAAGACCUUGUAGUUUAUUUUGCUGUAAAUAAGUGCCGCCCCCAAUUGCAACUUCUGUACCUCAAAACAUCAUCUUUAAACUUGGUUACUUCCCAGAGCAUGUGCCAAAAGCGAGGAUUCAACAGAUUCUUCUUUUGCGAAAACAAACUUGAGAAACCAUUUCUACUGCCCCAUUCGCCGCCAUGAACAUCGUCUAAGCUCACCGAGAAAGACAUAUCAGAAACCUUCAUAUCAACUCCAAGUGUCUCAAACAGCUCCAUCAUGUUGGGAGAUGUCACCUGAUUGAAGGCCAUGAAUUCCAGGUCCAAAUCGAUGCCAUCCACGACCACCGCCUUAGCAUGACCACCAAGGUAGUCCUCCUUCUCGUAUAACACCACUUCUACCCCUUCUUUCGCUAAGGCGUAUGCGGAUACCAACCCGCUUAUGCCUCCACCUAUGACCGAAACCCUCAUCUUAAUAAUGUUUCUUUUGAAAGUUAUAUAACCUUAUCUGUGUUCCUGUAGUGAAAUUCCAUGGGCAGAAUGAUCAGUUGAUUUUUUUAAAGAAAAAAGAAGAAGAAAACAUCACUUUGUAAGUUUUGAAUUAGAGGACAGGAGGUAAAAUAUUCCACAUCGAUAAAAAUAAACACAAACAUCUACGCCAUAAACUCACAGUCUCACAAAUUUCCUCAAAUUUUAAAAAAGAUAACGAGCAAACUCACUUUAGUUUCU